UCCGGCCCGCCAACCCUGAAUAAAUUGUAUUAUUAAAACGUUUUUUUGGUCAUAUUGCCUGCAAUGACUGCGUUUCCCCAGUAGAUGGGGAAGCGCUCGCCUGCGCAUUUACUACCGGAAGCCGUGUCGGAAAGCUCGGUGCACACUCACAAGUGCGUGUACGUACUCAGUAGUACGGACAUGGCGCACUCGCGCUCUAUUUGUAUCAGCCCCGAAUUUAGAGCGUGGGCUGUGACGACGGCGUUCUUGCAAUUCGCGCGCUGAGCUUUCAGAUACCGUUUUACGCUAAAGCCACCUACAAACCUUCCCCUGGAAUCCAUUAAAAUGAGUGGCCCGAAGAAAAGAAGUGAGUGCCGAAUGUUAAAAAAAGAGUGACCAAUUUGGCUCGACGUUCGCGACGUCCUCACCUCUGUUACCAGAUGUUUGUGAGUUAAAACUCUGCUCUGAUUUUCAGAUACCCCUCACCGUGUUGCAGUUUUGAUUACUUUAUUUGGAAGCACUGAAGUGAUGGAGACUGUUAUUCAUAAUAACAGUGUUGUAUUUUAUGAGAAUCACCGAUAGCAGUUUUUUAGUGAUUUUUUUUUAAUGCUGUUAAUAAAUGCAUUUGUUUUCAAAAAA